rnacentral:lncRNA from 1 species
UCUUAACACGGAUAACUCCGGCAAACUUGGCCUAUCAAUCUCGACAAGCGCUCUUUGGCCCUCGGUCAAUUACGCCUUCCAUUAAAGGUACAAACCAGAAUUUGGCAUCCCCUUUAAGGACGAUCGUAAACUAACAUGACCUUAAUGUUAACACGAAUGUACCAUGGUCUAAUCCUUGACCUAGAACAUCCUUGGCUAUCUGAGUGAACACAUCCUUCAUGCCAAGCCAAACUAUUUGAGAAACCAUCGCUCCAUCACUUAACGGCUAAACAACAAUCUACGAUUUGUCUAAAAACGUCGUGUGACUAUUAAGAGAAUAAUUAUCGUAUAGCCCACAAUCGGAAAUCAUAUGAUAAGUUCGUAACAAAACUCAGUCCUAAUAACCAAACAAAUAACGACCAAGUUCGAUACAUUCCACAACCAAAAAUGCACGAAAUAGAUCUCGAAAGGCCAACACUUCACAAAGCACUAUGAAGGAAAACGCUUCUUCCCAUGGACAAAUUUAUGCGACCCCUCGGUCCUAAUUCCUCGAUCGCAGACAAACCAAAAAAUGUUUCUCCGACGUAGGGUUAAGACUAAACUCUUAAAACACCGUGAAACAUCUUCAAGCCCGCAAACAUUUCAACCACGAAAACGCGGCAUGCAAAAGAAAAACCAACCUUCAGUAUCGCGAGACGUCGCAGACACUUGAAGAAUAAGUUUUUUCGACAAAAAUACCUUCCUUAAUAAAAACACAUUAUUGGAAAACCAAACAGUCAUACGCACAAACAUCUUCUCAAACACGUAUCCUUCGCGAAGAGUCAAAACGGUAAUAUCUACCGAUAAAUUUGUUGCUGAUCAAAACAAACUCUCAACGUCCUAA